rnacentral:misc_RNA from 1 species
GAUGAAGAACGCAGCGAAAUGUGAUAAGUAAUGUGAAUUGCAGAAUUCAGUGAAUCAUCGAAUCUUUGAACGCACCUUGCGCUCCUUGGUAUUCCGAGGAGCAUGCCUGUUUGAGUGUCAUGAAAUUCUCAACCUUUCUGGCUUUUGCUAGUCAGGCUUGGAUUAUGGGAGCUGCUGGCUUUUGAAGUCGGCUCUUCUAAAAUGUAUUAGCAAGAUCAUUGCUGCUCAUCAUUGGUAUGAUAAUUAUCUAUAUCAUUGAGAGUCAGUUUCCUUUAUUGGAAGAUUUUGCUCCUAACGGUCUUUAGCAAGACAACAUUUGACGAUUUUGACCUCAAAUCAGGUAGGACUACCCGCUGAACUUAAGCAUAUCAAUAAGCGGAGGA